GAUGAACGCUGGCGGCGUGCCUAACACAUGCAAGUCGAACGCACAGCGAAAGGUGCUUGCACCUUUCAAGUGAGUGGCGAACGGGUGAGUAACACGUGGAUAACCUACCUCAAGGUUGGGGAUAACAUUUGGAAACAGAUGCUAAUACCGAAUAAAACUUCGUAUCGCAUGAUACAAGGUUAAAGGGCGCUACGGCGUCACCUAGAGAUGGAUCCGCGGUGCAUUAGUUAGUUGGUGGGUAAAGGCCUACCAAGACAAUGAUGCAUAGCCGAGUUGAGAGACUGAUCGGCCACAUUGGGACUGAGACACGGCCCAAACUCCUACGGGAGGCUGCAGUAGGGAAUCUUCCGACAAUGGGCGAAAGCCUGAUGGAGCAACGCCGCGUGUGUGAUGAAGGC
rnacentral:rRNA from 1 species